rnacentral:rRNA from 1 species
CAAUAGCGUAUAUUAAAGUUGUUGCAGUUAAAAAGCUCGUAGUUGGAUUUCGGGGCAGCCUGGCUGGUCCGCCGCAAGGCGAGUACUGGUCAGCCGCCCUUCCUCUCGAAAGCCCCGACUGCUCUUCGUUGCAGUGGUCGGGUAGUUCGGGACGUUUACUUUGAAAAAAUUAGAGUGUUCAAGGCAGGCCUACGCCUGAAUACAUUAGCAUGGAAUAAUGGAAGAGGACCUCGGUCCUAUUUUGUUGGUUUCCAGGGCCGAAGUAAUGAUUAAGAGGGACAGUUGGGGGCAUUCGUAUUUAAUUGUCAGAGGUGAAAUUCUCGGAUUUAUGAAAGACGAACAACCGCGAAAGCAUUUGCCAAGGAUGUUUUCAUUAA